GACAGAGGGUGCGAACGUUGUUCGGAAUUACUGGGCGUAAAGCGCGUGUAGGCGGCAGCGUAAGUCGGGCGUGAAAUCCCACGGCUCAACCGUGGAAGUGCACUCGAAACUGCGCAGCUAGAGUCCUGGAGAGGAAGGUGGAAUGCUUGGUGUAGAGGUGAAAUGCGCAGAUAUCAGGAAGAACACCAAUGGCGAAGGCAGCUCUCUGGGCCACUACUGACGCUGAGAAGCGAAAGCAUGGGGAGCGAACAGG
rnacentral:rRNA from 1 species